rnacentral:rRNA from 2 species
GCCUACGGGGGGCUGCAGUGGGGAAUAUUGGACAAUGGGCGCAAGCCUGAUCCAGCCAUGCCGCGUGAGUGAAGAAGGCCUUCGGGUUGUAAAGCUCUUUUGGCGGGGACGAUGAUGACGGUACCCGCAGAAGAAGCCCCGGCUAACUCCGUGCCAGCAGCCGCGGUAAUACGGAGGGGGCUAGCGUUGUUCGGAAUUACUGGGCGUAAAGCGCACGUAGGCGGGUCGCUAAGGCGGGGGUGAAAUCCUGGGGCUCAACCUCAGAACUGCCUUCGAUACUGGCGACCUUGAGUACGGGAGAGGUGAGUGGAAUUCCCAGUGUAGAGGUGAAAUUCGUAGAUAUUGGGAAGAACACCAGUGGCGAAGGCGGCUCACUGGCCCGUAACUGACGCUGAGGUGCGAAAGCGUGGGGAGCAAACAGGAUUAGAUACCCUAGUAGUC